rnacentral:rRNA from 1 species
GACGAACGCUGGCGGCGUGCCUAAUACAUGCAAGUAGAACGCAGUUGCGAACGGGUGAGUAACGCGUAGGUAACUGCCUCAUAGCGGGGGAUAACUAUUGGAAACGAUAGCUAAUACCGCAUACUGUGAGAUGGACCUGCGUGGUAUUAGGCUGUUGGUGAGGUAAAGGCCCACCAAGGCGACGAUACAUAGCCGACCUGAGAGGGUGAUCGGCCACACUGGGACUGAGACACGGCCCAGGCCUCUACCGGGGGGAGCAGUAGGGAAACUUCGGCCAUUGACGGAAAGCUGACCGAGCAACGCCGCGGGAGUGAAGAAGGUUCUCGGAUCUUAAAGCUCUGUUCUUAGGGGAGCGGUAACUAACCAGAAAGGGACGGCUAACUACGUGCCAGCCGCCGCGGUAAUUC